CCUAUGACUAGGAAGGGUAAAGGGGUGAUGACAAUACCAACACCGGUUAAGCUCAAAGAAACAAUCAGAAAGUACAUCCCUACUUAUGAAGGUUCUGAUUCAGAUGGUUCUGUGGGUAGCGCUCCAGGUGAAAGACAAGAAACUACUAAGGGGAACGUCGACUACAUGGCCAUGCAUUAGCGGC